rnacentral:tRNA from 1 species
GCAGUGGCGGUUCAGUGGUUGAAUUCUCGCCUUCCAUGCGGGAGACCGGGGUUCGACUCCUGGCCAAUGCA